rnacentral:lncRNA from 1 species
UAUUGUAUAUUACACUCAGUUACUUAUAGGAUGUCACAGUGAAUAAAAGAAGAGGAUACAUUUUUGUUUGAACAACAGUGUUUUAAACACAAAUCAAGAAUAUCAGGGUCAUGAGAAGUUUAAUUGAACUUGUAUUUACUUUCCACAGAAGUUGAGCUGGCAAAUUAGCUAGUUAGCUAGCUGUUAAGAUAAGUAAACAAAGCUGUAAUUCUUAAAAUAUAUAUAUAUAUAUAUAAACUAAUAAACAUUUUAUUUUAAAGUCAAACUAGCGCUAGUAAACACAGUCCGACAGUGCUACACUUAGGAACUCUAAGUAUUUCGGAAAACUAGGGCGAUAUCAGCGGAUUGUCCCAUGUAGCUUGUAGCGGCUAAUGCUAAUACUGCUCCAGCUGUGCUAGCCAGGGUUAGCAACAGGAUACAAGGCAAUAAUACUCACCUCUGAAUGGCGAAAGAGCUACCGCUUAGUGCAGUUAGCAGCUAAUGCUAAUACUGCUCCAGCAGUGCUAGUCGGGGUUAGCAGCAGGCUACAGGCCGAUAAUACUCACCUCUAAACGGCAAAAGAGCUAGCGCUAACUGAGCUAACUGCUCCAGUCUUAGUGCUGUAGAAAAACUUGACUGAAAAUCCUUUAUAACACCGCUCAAGAAAAUACUGAAAUUGUUCCGUUUUACACUAUCUAACCUAGCUAGAUAGCUAUGCUGUAUAAAUAACUUAAGAUUGGUACAUAAUGCUCUUGCUGGAUUCCAAAUUGUCCUAUGCUGGGUCUGUUGUUGAUGGCUUAUUUUAACACAUUCAACCAAACGCCCAUAUGUCUGCCCUUACACACCCAGUGCUCCACUUUAGAUUAUCUUUAAAGCAAAAAUCUUCUCUAACAGACUCACAGCACCUGACCUGUCCACUUCACAAGAGCCAGUUACCCUCCACAGAGCAAGCAGAGCAGAUGUAUGGAGGUUUGGGUAGAUGUGUUAAAUUUAGCUCCUUUAACCACAGACGCAGCUCCUCUUCUCUGAAAAGCAGUGGAUAUAAAUUCUGGCAGAUGCUGCGAAGAGUACAAACAUGUCAGAGGAAGCAAGAAGAGAAGAGAAGAGAAGAGAAGAGAAGCGAGAGUAACCAAGCUAGAGACCGCACGAGAAUUAAAA